rnacentral:lncRNA from 1 species
AGCCAUUUUCCCAUAAAACUUAAAAACACAACCUAAAGCUUUGAUGGAAGGACUUACAAGGAACCUUCCAUCAACACAAUUGGGAUUCCAUUUGUACCUAGAAAUUAUAUUUCUCCCUUAUAGAAAACUAGGUUAUUGUUUCGAAUUACCUUUAAGUCUUUUCAUUCAAAUGGUUGGGAACGUGUUUCCCAAGUCCCCAACUCUAUACUUAUGUAAUCAAAGCAUAUACCAGAGGUGCGAUUACAAAUCAAAGCAAGAAAAGGAUGUGAAGAAUUUGGCGAGGAUAAGAGUUGGCAGCUUAUAACUACGUCAAAAUGAAGUUGUUUGGGCGACUAUGGAAGUGGAAUGCUUUUCUUCGUAAAAGGAUGCCAAAGAUAGAUGGUAUUAACUCCUUGCAACAUCAAACACCAUCCUUAUAACUUUAUUUGAUUUGUUAGGAUUAUUAAUUAAAUAAUUUUCUUGUUGCAGCAUAUCAAUAAACCUGCAUUUAUUUAACUGUUGGCUCAACCAACAAAAUUAAAUGAGGUCAAAUUAUGUUUGAUUAAUCAUCGUGCAUCAAUCGUACAAUUUUAGCGGUUGAAUGAAAAUAUAUCUACUUGAUGGCCUUGAAGCCAUUGAUGUCCUCUCUGAAAACAUGUAUAAUUUGAACUGUCCAAGAUAGUUGAAGUAACCCC